rnacentral:rRNA from 1 species
CAGUCGAGCGGACAGAAGGGAGCUUGCUCCCGGAUGUUAGCGGCGGACGGGUGAGUAACACGUGGGUAACCUGCCUGUAAGACUGGGAUAACUCCGGGAAACCGGAGCUAAUACCGGAUAGUUCCUUGAACCGCAUGGUUCAAGGAUGAAAGACGGUUUCGGCUGUCACUUACAGAUGGACCCGCGGCGCAUUAGCUAGUUGGUGAGGUAACGGCUCACCAAGGCGACGAUGCGUAGCCGACCUGAGAGGGUGAUCGGCCACACUGGGACUGAGACACGGCCCAGACUCCUACGGGAGGCAGCAGUAGGGAAUCUUCCGCAAUGGACGAAAGUCUGACGGAGCAACGCCGCGUGAGUGAUGAAGGUUUUCGGAUCGUAAAGCUCUGUUGUUAGGGAAGAACAAGUGCAAGAGUAACUGCUUGCACCUUGACGGUACCUAACCAGAAAGCCACGGCUAACUACGUGCCAGCAGCCGCGGUAAUACGUAGGUGGCAAGCGUUGUCCGGAAUUAUUGGGCGUAAAGGGCUCGCAGGCGGUUUCUUAAGUCUGAUGUGAAAGCCCCCGGCUCAACCGGGGAGGGUCAUUGGAAACUGGGAAACUUGAGUGCAGAAGAGGAGAGUGGAAUUCCACGUGUAGCGGUGAAAUGCGUAGAGAUGUGGAGGAACACCAGUGGCGAAGGCGACUCUCUGGUCUGUAACUGACGCUGAGGAGCGAAAAGCGUGGGGAGCGAACAGGAUUAGAUACCCUGGUAGUCCACGCCGUAAACGAUGAGUGCUAAGUGUUAGGGGGUUUCCGCCCCUUAGUGCUGCAGCUAACGCAUUAAGCACUCCGCCUGGGGGAGUACGGUCGCAAGACUGAAACUCAAAAGGAAUUUGACGGGGGGCCCGCACAAGCGGUGGAGCAUGUGGUUUAAUUUC